GGAAAGAUUCCUAUCGACUUCAGUGGACUUUGGAUGAAUCACGCCCUUACCUUGUAACUGGAGUGAUUCUGCUGCCUCAGAACUUGAAGUCUCGGAGGCUUUUACAAACAUCAGGAGUUUUCGUUAAGUUUGCAGAAUUCAUGUGGGUUCACAGAACAUGGAAAAAGGACUGAACACACAGGAGUACUGACACAGGUGGAGCCAGCUGGACAAACAGGAUUUUGAAAGUCUCUCAAUGGAAGAAGACUCAACACAUGCCAAGAAAGAAAG